rnacentral:rRNA from 1 species
AGAAUCAACGCUGGCGGCGCGCUUAACACAUGCAAGUCGCACGAGAAAGGGAGCAAUCCUAAGUAAAGUGGCGCACGGGUGAGUAACACGUGGAUUAUCUACCUUUUAGUGGGGAAUACCUCUGGGAAACCGGAGACAAUACCGCAUAAGCCCGCAAGGGGAAAGCAGCAAUGCGCUGAAAGAGGAGUCCGCGGCCGAUUAGCUAGUUGGCGGGGUAAUGGCCCACCAAGGCGAAGAUCGGUA